GAUGAAGAACGUAGUGAAAUGCGAUAAGUAAUGUGAAUUGCAGAAUUCAGUGAAUCAUCGAAUCUUUGAACGCACAUUGCGCCCCUUGGUAUUCCGAGGGGCAUGCCUGUUCGAGCGUCAUUAUAACCCCUCAAGCUCAGCUUGGUGUUGGGGCCUGCUGCACUGGCAGCCCUUAAAAUCAGUGGCGGCGCCAUCUGGCUCUAAGCGUAGUAAUUCUUCUCGCUAUGGAGUCCUGGUGGAUGCUUGCCAUCAACCCCCAAUGUUUCUAUGGUUGACCUCGGAUCAGGUAGGGAUACCCGCUGAACUUAAGCAUAUCAAUAAGCGGAGGA
rnacentral:misc_RNA from 1 species